CCUACGGGGUGCAGCAGUGAGGAAUAUUGGUCAAUGGGCGGGAGCCUGAACCAGCCAAGCCGCGUGAGGGAAGAAGGUACAGCGUAUCGUAAACCUCUUUUGUCAGGGAACAAAGGCGGGGACUAGUCCCCGGAUGAGGGUACCUGAAGAAAAAGCAUCGGCUAACUACGUGCCAGCAGCCGCGGUAAUACGUAGGGAGCGAGCGUUGUCCGGAAUUACUGGGUGUAAAGGGAGCGUAGGCGGGGAUGCAAGUUGGGUGUCAAAACUACCGGCUCAACUGGUAGUCGCACUCAAAACUGCAGCUCUUGAGUGAAGUAGAGGCAGGCGGAAUUCCUAGUGUAGCGGUGAAAUGCGUAGAUAUUAGGAGGAACACCAGUGGCGAAGGCGGCCUGCUGGGCUUUUACUGACGCUGAGGCUCGAAAGUGUGGGGAGCAAACAGGAUUAGAUACCCUAGUAGUC
rnacentral:rRNA from 1 species